rnacentral:rRNA from 1 species
UACAGGGGGGGCGAGCGUUGUUCGGAAUUACUGGGCGUAAAGGGUUUGUAGGUGGCUUGUUAAGUCAGACGUGAAAUCCCUCAGCUUAACUGGGGAACUGCGUCUGAUACUGAUGAGCUUGAGUGCAGGAGAGGAACGCGGAAUUCCUGGUGUAGCGGUGGAAUGCGCAGAUAUCAGGAGGAACACCAAUAGCGAAGGCAGCUCGCUGGGACGGUACUGACGCUAAGGCGCGAAAGCGUGGGGAGCGAACAGG